rnacentral:rRNA from 1 species
UCUACGGGAGGCAGCAGUGGGGAAUAUUGGGCAAUGGGCGCAAGCCUGACCCAGCAACGCCGCGUGAAGGAAGAAGGCUUUCGGGUUGUAAACUUCUUUUAAGAGGGAAGAGCAGAAGACGGUACCUCUUGAAUAAGCCACGGCUAACUCCGUGCCAGCAGCCGCGGUAAUACGUAGGUGGCAAGCGUUGUCCGGAUUUACUGGGGGUAAAGGGCGUGCAGUCGGAUGGACAAGUCAGAUGUGAAAUCCACGGGCUCAACCCGUGAACUGCAUUUGAAACUGUUUCCCUUGAGUGUCGGAGAGGUAAUCGGAAUUCCUUGUGUAGCGGUGAAAUGCGUAGAUAUUAGGAAGAACACCAGUGGCGAAGGCGGAUUACUGGACGACAACUGACGGUGAGGCGCGAAAGCGUGGGGAUCGAACAGGAUUAGAUACCCCAGUAGUC